rnacentral:rRNA from 1 species
UACAGGGGGUGCAAACGUUGCUCGGAAUCAUUGGGCGUAAAGCGCACGUAGGCGGUUCGUUAUGUCGGAUGUGAAAGCCCUUGGCUUAACCGAGGAAGUGCAUCCGAAACUGGCGAGCUAGAGUACUAAAGAGGAUCGCGGAAUUCCCGGUGUAGAGGUGAAAUUCGUAGAUAUCGGGAGGAACACCGGUGGCGAAGGCGGCGGUCUGGGUAGAUACUGACGCUGAGGUGCGAAAGCGUGGGGAGCAAACAGG